AUUCACAGGUUGGGAGGAAUAAGGUCAUGGACAUCUUUGGAGGUCAUCGUUUGGCCCACCACAGGGACGGCACAGAAUGACACCAGGCAGUGGUGGUGACAGAGGACACAGCGGGCAAUUGUCGCAUGCGGUGGCCGGUGUCUUGGAGGACGGUGUCUCACUAUGGAGAGGACGGUGGAGAGUGGAUUGCAUCCAGUCCCAGGGCCCAGUCUGAGCACCACCAUUUCAUGAAAGGGCCACAUGUGCAAAGGGACCCCCAAACGCAGCAGGAACUGAGAAACCAAAGAACGUAUCCAAAGAACAGACAGACAAAUCCAGUUUGUCGGGAGAGGGUGACUUAUCGGGGGACUUAGGGACAGAAGUAUGGUCUUCUGUGGCCAUAAGACAGGUAGAUCUCACUGCUGCCACCAUCCCAGACCCAGGGCUUAUAUACUGCAGGGAGUCAACCUUCCAGGAAAAGACAAGAAUGCUGUGUGCAUCAUAGCCUGUCAUUUGCAUGAUAAAAUCAAGGGUGUUUUGCCCUAAAGGCCGGCUUUACCGUAAAUUCAUGCUGUUACACAUCUCUGUAAGUGGAAAUCUUAGAGGCAUUCCCAGAACUGGGGUGGCAUCUAAAGUGGAGUCACUGUGGCCUCCACAACCACAUCACCUUGGAUUCUUUUUGAAGUGGCAGAUAGAGGAUUACAAAUACGGUAGAAUUAAUUAUAAGUCAUCCCGUUGGUACUACAGAACUUGGACCUUCUUUUGAGUUUAGUUUGAUUUCUCAAAAUAAACCAGAUCAAAAAGACAAACAACUGGAUUUGUCCCUUACAAGCAAGAUCUUGCUAAGGGAGAAAGACUUCUACUUUACCUUAUAAUCUUAAAAUUCUUUAUUUCAAAAUUGUGUACA